rnacentral:rRNA from 1 species
AAUCAACGCUGGCGGCGUGCCUCAGACAUGCAAGUCGAACGAUUAAACUUUCCUUCGGGAAAGAUAUAAAGUGGCGCACGGGUGAGUAACACGUAGGUAAUGUACCUUUGGGUGGGAGUAACCAUCGGAACGAUGGCUAAUACCGCAUAAUGCAGCGGCAUCGCAAGAUGACAGUUGUUAAAGAUUUAUCGCCUAAAGAGCAGCCUGCGGCAGAUUAGGUUAGNGGUUAAGGUAAUGGCUUACCAAGCCUGCGAUCUGUAACCGACCUGAGAGGGUGGUCGGUCACACUGACACUGAAUAACGGGUCAGACUCCUACGGGAGGCAGCAGUCGGGAAUUUUGGGCAAUGGGCGAAAGCCUGACCCAGCAACGCCGCGUGAAGGACGAAGUCUUUC